AACAUCCUGGAAUGCUCGAGGCCCCUUCUUUUUUUGAACCUACAUCGACUUAAACGGGACUCCAAGAUCGCACUGCGGAUGUCAGGCCGUCAUUAUGCAGCGGAAGGCAGAAGCAGUGUUGAGGACACCCACCUGGCUGCGGCUAGGCGUCAAUGGGAAGGGAACGACAUUUCGGGACUUAA
rnacentral:other from 2 species